rnacentral:rRNA from 1 species
GACGAACGCUGGCGGCGUGCUUAACACAUGCAAGUCGAACGGAAAGGCCCUGCUUUUGUGGGGUGCUCGAGUGGCGAACGGGUGAGUAACACGUGAGUAACCUGCCCUUGACUUUGGGAUAACUUCAGGAAACUGGGGCUCAUACCGGAUAGGAGAUCCUGAUGCAUGGGGGGGGUUGGAAAGUUUCGGCGGUUGGGGAUGGACUCGCGGCUUAUCAGCUUGUUGGUGGGGUAGUGGCUUACCAAGGCUUUGACGGGUAGCCGGCCUGAGAGGGUGACCGGCCACAUUGGGACUGGGGUACGGGCCAGACUCCUACGGGGGGCAGCAGUGGGGGAUAUUGCACAAUGGGCGGAAGCCGGAUGCAGCAACGCCGCGUGCGGGAUGACGGCCUGCGGGUUGUAACCCGCUUUCGCCUGUGACGAAGCGUGAGUGACGGUAAUGGGUAAAGAAGCACCGGCUAACUACGUG